AGUGAACGCUGGCGGUAGGCCUAACACAUGCAAGUCGAACGGCAGCACAGUAAGAGCUUGCUCUUACGGGUGGCGAGUGGCGGACGGGUGAGGAAUACAUCGGACUCUACUUUUUCGUGGGGGAUAACGUAGGGAAACUUACGCUAAUACCGCAUACGACCUACGGGUGAAAGCAGGGGAUCUUCGGACCUUGCGCGAUUGAAUGAGCCGAUGUCGGAUUAGCUAGUUGGCGGGGUAAAGGCCCACCAAGGCGACGAUCCGUAGCUGGUCUGAGAGGAUGAUCAGCCACAUUGGAACUGGGACACGGUCCAGACGCCUACGGGAGGCAGCAGUGGGGAAUAUUGGACAAUGGGCGCAAGCCUGAUCCAGUCAUACCGCGUGGGUGAAGAAGGCCUUCGGGUUGGAAAGCCCGUUUGUUGGGAAAGAAAAGCAGCAGGUUAAUACCCCGCUGUUCUGACGGUACCCAAAGAAUAAGCACCGGCUAACUUCGUG
rnacentral:rRNA from 1 species